AUUUUUUAAUGAGAACUUCGGUUGUUUGAUUUGAGAUUGCAUCAGCUCCAGCGAGGCAUCAACCGUACUGUAGAUUUGCAGAGCAAACAGCAAAGCAGAACAUUUGAAACUACGGCUUUAGGGCAAAAUUGAAAAUAAUAGACCGCCGAUCCCAAAUUAAGCAACCAUAGAUUAAUUUAUUCUUUUGAAUUAUUUCCCGAAUAAUAUCAUAAAUCAAAUAAAUUACGAAUCUCUGGUUUAAUUGUUUUGGUUGUUCAUCUAUUUUGCGAGGUCGGGAGAGGGGAGCUACUGUAAAUCUUGGUGAAAUGAAACCGCUGGGAUGGUGGCUGCUACUGGUGGGUUCGCUCCGAUUGGCCUCCGUUUGGUUCGGAUUCUUCGACAUCUGGGCUCUGCGGCUCGCCGUCUUCUCCAAUACUACCAUGACUGAAGUUCAUGGAAGGACAUUUGGAGUGUGGACACUCCUAACUUGCACACUCUGCAUUCUCUGUGCAUUCAACCUUGAGAAUAGGCCCAUUUAUUUGGCGACCUUUUUAUCUUUCAUAUAUGCUUUGGGGCAUUUCUCAACGGAAUACUUGAUAUAUCAUACCAUGUCCAUCGCAAAUCUGACGACUGUUGGCAUCUUUGCGGGUACAUCAAUAAUAUGGAUGCUGCUCCAGUGGAAUGUACACCAAAGAAAUCACCCCAAACAUUCUUAAUGAUAUACUGCCUUGCUGAUGGUCCUCCAAACUUGUACUGAAAAUGGAACUAAUUGAGCUGCCAUUGCCAAGGAACAAGCCAUUUGCUCUAUGAGGUUUCUUCAUUGCAGUUUUUAGUUAUAAGAGGUCAAUCUUUUUCGUAACAGUUGUCUCAUAAUUUAAAUUCCUUUGAAAUUUCUGGCAUGAUUGAUCCCGCUUGCUGCUGCAAUCAAGAUGCUCAUCCUCACUAUAAUACUCGUACUAGGUUCUGCUUCACAAUUAAAACCAAACCGAGACCGUGACAACCAUUUAUUUAUUCUUGAUUGCCAUCAACGGCUGGGUAAAGAUGGAAGACUCAAAUUGAAUUGCAUCAGUUGUUACCUUAAUACCUUGUUAUUUAGCAUCCUGUCCCAACUCCACAAACAACAUAGCACAAGUACACUGCACUAUAGAUUGGCUUGUAAUUUCAGAUACCACGUUCUCUGUUUCUCCCUCUCCCUCUUACUCAGCUUUUUACCUGUAGCGCUUAUGGGACAAAAGGAAGAUAAUUGCCUCAUGGAGUUGACAAGCCCCGACCUCCUCCCACAGCCACACGGUGGAUCGAUCAUAUCAGAAUUGUCAUUUCCUCCAUCUUUUUCCAAAAUCAUUCUCUGAAAUUUGCUCUGCUUGUGACCGUCUGAAUAAAUUUAGUUACUUUGGAAUGGGCUAAUCUUGUCGGAGCACCCCUUUGUAUCUUUUUGGUUCUUCAAUUUCAGACACGAUUCUCUUCAACCGAGACAGACUGGUUGGGUGCCUCAAGUGAUAAAAGAAAUUAAAACUGAAUUCUGAAAAGGAUCAAGUGGACGGUAUUGAGACUAAAUCACCAUCUAUCUCCAUAAAGCAAAAUUAAAUUCUCCUUUUA